AGUGCCCCCACUUAUCUAACUACCUAACAGUUCCACUAAGUAGAUGGACUGCUCUGAAAUAACUAGACUGCCAUUGUCAGAAACAUAAGUCUACCAAAGACUAAUGAAGUAAAGCCGGAUAGAGGUUGCAUAACUACAAAUAAGCCUGGAAUUCAAGAAACUUUCAGGGUAAAAAUAUAUUUGAAAACUUUCAACUGGGAAGAAGGAUCAAGAUGGCUGAUAAAGAGGACAAAUCAAAAAUACAUCUGUAAUGUGGAACAAUUCUCACUAAAGACCGAUUGGAAAAUGGCAGGAAGAUUCUUAUAGAAGCUAAGGCGGUAAGAAAGAUACACAGAAAAUCGAGUAGGAAGGGAAGAAAAAUGAUCUGGUCAAGACCUGUGACCCUGGGAAGGGUCUAAAGAAACGGAGGAUACGUGGGCAGACACCUACCUGGGGAGUGGAUGGUGAGAGCCAUAGAUUGGAUGCCCAAGUCCUGGGAUCCUACACAGGAGAGACUAGCCCCUGGUACUAACAGGAGGGUGGUGAGAAGCCUAGACUUCACUUGUGAGAAGUGAAGACACACUGGCUUGCCCCUUAGGAAGGGAGGAGAGAGGUCUGCUCUAGCGGCUGCCAGGUUUUCCUGGACAUCCUUGGUACAUGCCCCAGCCUGAGCCAAGAGAUCACCCAGCCCUGCUCAUGCCUUGUCACAGUGCAGCACUGUAUCUGGGGUGGGGUGGGGUGGUGGUAGCCACUGUUGAUACUUACUCAAGCAGCAUAUUUGCUCCAGCAACUGGAGAUCAGACCCCACCCCCAAUAGGACAGUGAUGGCUACUAAGCAGAGGGGCAGUCCAGACUCACACAUCAUUCUAGCUCUAACACUAAAGGCAUUGGACACACAAUCUGUACAGGACCCUCCCACAUACGAACACCUCUUCAAGACCACAAUAGGUGGCUGUUCACCUAAACGCAUAGAGGCAGGGCAAGUUAAGCAAAAUGAA